ensembl:lncRNA
GCCACACUAUCAUCUCGUGUUUGUUGGAGGGUAGGCAAGAUUAGCUCUUUAGAAAAGUAGACCUCCUAAGAUUACCAGCUACUUUUUUAGAAAUAGAUAAUUAAUUAAAAAAAUCAUUCAUCUCUAAUUCUAGUGAAUAUGUGGAAGGAAAUAAAUUACUGGCAUUGUACAAGUGGCAGUCUUGCUGGUCCUGACAAACUUGCAUCCAGUGUUCUUUCUGUUCCUGUACGAGCAUUUGUGGGACCCACCUGGCACAACCUUCCAACUGAGUGUAUUCUAUGAUUUUAUAUUUGAAAAGACCAUUCAAGAACCUCGUGGACCAUCUUCUUUUUUCAUUCAUGUUCUCACUGGAUUGAUCUAGAUACAGGAGCUGUUGUGGAGAGGGUGACACAAAAGUGAGAGUGCACUACCUGCAGGCAGUUAGCAGAGAGCUGUGAAAAAAAGCAGGGAAAGAGUGUGGGGAUAUGAAAAGGAAAAUUCUCCAGUCCAUCUAAGAAAAGGAUAAAUAGUUACAUCUGAAUCAGACCGUUCUGGCUCCCUUUAGAGGAAGAAUGGAGAAAGAAAUACAAUUAAUCUUAUUUGAUGAUAAAAACGUGAAAAGAUCAGGGACCACCAAGGUGAAAGAAGAGAUCCUGGAUUAACACUUUUCAGCGUCAGCCUGGAAAGAUUCUUUUCAGGCAAUUACUGUUGCCAGAAAGUAAUUCAAUAUUCUGUAAUUUAAACUGAAACUGAACUACAUUUAUUGCUUGGUAUUGCACAACUCUGACGAUGCAAGGAAUAGAAGUUAAUUUUGAAGACUCAUCAAAAGGUAAAAUAGAAGAAUACGGCUUGGAAGCUUCAUUCAUUUCCUUUAUUUUUAAAAAUAAAAGUGACAAUAUUUUUCCUUGUAAGGAUUGUCACACCGACAGACACCGAAGUGCAUGGUGUUAUGCAAGAUAUUAAUACUAGAAGGAUCAAACUACCAAUUCAACUCCAUCAUGCGUUAUAGUAAAAUAUUUCAGUAAAAAAAUUACUUGCACGCUGAAAUUAAUAAAUAGCAAUUGAGUGGGAAAAAAAUGAAAGACCUCCAAUCCUCUAACUAUUCUGUAAAAUAUUAAAAAAAAAUAUUAAAAAAAAAAAGGAUAAAGUAACAAGGAUUGACGCUUAAGUAACAAAUAUUACGGCAAGGUAAUAUGUGGGACAGAAGAAAAGAUAAGCAAAUAUUUAAUCCAUGUUGAAGAAACAAGUAUGGUUACAACACUGUUGAGAAAUGUUAAAAUUGUUCAUUUUCAUGAACAGAUCUGAUUACUGAUCAGGUUUCAUAGCUUCAUGAGCUCUUCCACUGGUUUACUAUCCUUAUAAGUAGAUACUGGUCACAAUUUUCUAACCUAAAUCUUCCUUGGAUUAAGAUAAUCC